UCCAGACUCCUACGGGAGGCAGCAGUGAGGAAUAUUGGUCAAUGGGCGGGAGCCUGAACCAGUCAAGUCGCGUGAGGGAAGAAGGUACUGAGUAUUGUAAACCUCUUUUGCCAGGGGACAAAGGCGGCCACGGGUGGCCGUAAGAGGGUACCUGGAGAAAAAGCAUCGGCUAACUCCGUGCCAGCAGCCGCGGUAAUACGGAGGAUGCGAGCGUUAUCCGGAUUUAUUGGGUUUAAAGGGUGCGCAGGCGGCGUGUCAAGUCAGCGGUAAAAUGUCGGGGCUCAACCCCGGCCGGCCGUUGAAACUGGGGAUCUAGAGUGUGCGAGAGGUAUGCGGAAUGCGUGGUGUAGCGGUGAAAUGCAUAGAUAUCACGCAGAACUCCGAUUGCGAAGGCAGCAUACCGGCGCCCGACUGACGCCGAGGCACGAAAGCGUGGGGAUCGAACAGGAUUAGAUACCCGAGUAUA
rnacentral:rRNA from 1 species